CAAAUGGAAUAAUAUGUUGACAAGUGUGCAAGUUGUUGGCUGGAGGGAACAAGCUUGGCAGAGGUUUAAAAGCUUGUCUGCCUUAGUUUUCGAAGGAGGAGCCGGCUUCUGGAAUAAGCCAAUCAAGAGCAACUGUAAGGGAGUUGGGUCGGGCCGGUGUUUUGUAUUUUUUUUGUUGGUCAUCAGUGGUGGACUCCUUAAAGAUAAUUGGGCUUAUAUACAAUGUUUUGUCUAAGUCCACAUCACAGCAAUCUAGAGGAAGAAGAUAAAGACGAAAGCGACAACAACAGCAUCCGAGUGACUGUUGACAAACGAGGAGAUCUACAGCCCACAGCACCACCAUGAACACCAACAACGGGAUCGAGAUCUGAUGACCAUCAACGAAGCCGCCGCUUGUUUGGGUCGGGUAAAGCUAGUGGAGAAAGACCAACACGAACCCGGACGACGACGUUUUGUUGUAUGCCUUUGACGAGUCGAAGCGGUUGGGGCUCACCGCGUUCUGGAAUUCGUCAUCUCUCUCCCUGUCCCUCAAAACCUAGGGCUUCCUUUUUAGGGAUACCAUAAUCCUUACUGGUUUGGCCUCCAUGGAUGCAUCAGCACCUGCUAUUCAGUGUUCCUCCUCCCAUUAACAAAGGAACCCACAAAAAAAAAAACGAAAAGUUGCAUGAUUAGAUACCCAAUUUUUUUUGUUUGUCAAAGUUUAAGUCAAAUAGCCCACCAACAAAGAUCCAAUCAAAAAAGAAUGGCUAACAACUCGACCAGCUCCAGCCAUCAAAGGGGAGACAAGCCCUAGAUCAACAUAGCCACGUGUCGAUCUCAUGUUCACUCAAAAAAAAAUCUGUAAAUCUGUAUCAAUUUGCAUCUGUACCAUAGAAUGACCCUUUGUAAGGUUAAACGGUCAGAUUAAAAAUCGUCUUUAAACUGUUAAACCGACUGAAAACUAAUCAAUCAGACCAAACUAGAACUCGACCAGUUUUCUCGAUACUACUUUAAACUGCAUCGUUUUUGAGUUCUUUGAAAACAAAAAUAGAAAAUAAAAAAAAAAACUCAGACCCUCUCACCCCUCCUCAGUCCUCACCUUCAUCCUCUCUUCCCUCUCUAAAA